AGGGCUGGACUCUAUGACUCUAUGAUUCUAUUGUAUGAGUCACAGUGGGGCCCCCCAGAGCUCAUAUGAGGGCCAGCCGCUGAAGGGAGAGCAUCGCUUGGGCUGCUUGCUGAGGAGUGCUGUGUGGCUGGGGAGCUGCAUCAGCAAUUGGAUGACAAACAGAUGGCUUCUAAAGCAUUCAUGAUGCUGAGGAGAGGAACACCCAUGUAGCAGCCUUCGUUCUGUGUCACUGCAGGUUGUCACACAGCUCUCAGACUGUCAGACAGCACAGAGGAAAAGGCUCCAUUGUUAUCUCCCCUCCAUCGUAAGAGAUAUGAAGUGCAGUUCUUUCACUGUCUUAAGACCUUCAGGAAUAUUUUCACAUUUUGGAAGAGUUACCCUCACCUGUUAGGAAAGGAACAUUGAAUAAUGUCAGCACAACAACUAUGG